CUGCUUCAGCAGCUCAUAUACUGGAAAUUGGAAUGAUACAGAGAAGAUUAGCAUGGCCCCUGGACAAAGGUGACACACAAAUUCAUGAAGUGUUCAUAUUCUUG
ensembl:snRNA U6 U6 spliceosomal RNA